UACAGAGGGUGCGAGCGUUAAUCGGAAUUACUGGGCGUAAAGCGCGCGUAGGCGGCUUUUCAAGUCGAUUGUGAAAUCCCCCGGGCUUAACCUGGGAACUGCAGUCGAGACUGUCUAGCUAGAGUAUGGGAGAGGGAAGUGGAAUUUCAGGUGUAGCGGUGAAAUGCGUAGAUAUCUGAAGGAACAUCAGUGGCGAAAGCGACUUCCUGGACCAAUACUGACGCUCAUGUGCGAAAGCGUGGGGAGCAAACAGGGAUUAGAAACCCUGGAUACGU
rnacentral:rRNA from 1 species